rnacentral:rRNA from 1 species
AUUGAACGCUGGCGGCAGGCUUAACACAUGCAAGUCGAGCGGUAACAGGGGAAGCUUGCUUCCCGCUGACGAGCGGCGGACGGGUGAGUAAUGCUUAGGAAUCUGCCCAGUAGUGGGGGAUAGCCCGGGGAAACCCGGAUUAAUACCGCAUACGUCCUACGGGAGAAAGCAGGGGAUCUUCGGACCUUGCGCUAUUGGAUGAGCCUAAGUCGGAUUAGCUAGUUGGUGGGGUAAAGGCCUACCAAGGCGACGAUCCGUAGCUGGUCUGAGAGGAUGAUCAGCCACAUCGGGACUGAGACACGGCCCGAACUCCUACGGGAGGCAGCAGUGGGAAAUAUUGGACAAUGGGGGCAACCCUGAUCCAGCCAUGCCGCGUGUGUGAAGAAGGCUUUCGGGUUGUAAAGCACUUUCAGUAGGGAGGAAAACCUUAUGGCUAAUACCCAUGAGGCUUGACGUUACCUACAGAAGAAGCACCGGCUAACUCCGUGCCAGCAGCCGCGGUAAUACGGAGGGUGCAAGCGUUAAUCGGAAUUACUGGGCGUAAAGCGCGCGUAGGUGGUUUGGUAAGCGAGAUGUGAAAGCCCCGGGCUUAACCUGGGAACGGCAUUUCGAACUGUCAGACUAGAGUGUGGUAGAGGGUAGUGGAAUUUCCUGUGUAGCGGUGAAAUGCGUAGAUAUAGGAAGGAACACCAGUGGCGAAGGCGGCUACCUGGACCAACACUGACACUGAGGUGCGAAAGCGUGGGGAGCAAACAGGAUUAGAUACUCUGGUAGUCCACGCCGUAAACGAUGUCAACUAGCCGUUGGGACUCUUGAAGUCUUAGUGGCGCAGCUAACGCACUAAGUUGACCGCCUGGGGAGUACGGCCGCAAGGUUAAAACUCAAAUGAAUUGACGG